CAUUUUAACUUUUUUACAUAUUCUUUCCUUUGUCCUGUGAAGAGAGGACUCACAUGCCUAUGCCUUAGAUUUAGCUCUACUGUCAACCCAUGUUUGCAGCAGCAGCUCCUCCUGCCCAUGGGUCCCAUCCCCAUGCUAUUCUCUAGAUGGGAGAGCACUGCUGCCAAACCUUGAGAGAGUCCAAACUCUUUCUUUUGACUCCUCAGCUCACCGACCCCGCAUCAGCUACGUUGCUUCCAACAUCACAAGGGGAGAAGACCACGACUGCAUUCUAUUGUUUAAUUUGGUUUACAAAUGGGUCUUACUUAAAUGAUAAACAAGGAUGGUUAAUCCAGUAAAAAGAUUUCCUUCUGCAGACUUAAGAAAUCACCACGGAAGAAGAAAAAUAAUAUAUCUGAUUCUUUCACAGAGCUCCAGAACUUAGGGAUCAUGGACUACAACGUGAAGAAUUUAUUUAUUGAAAGAGACAUCAAAUAAGACUCUAUACAGCCCAGUUGGAAAGGACCAAACCAGGAGGAGAAGAAGACGACAUCUGUUGUAGACAGCUGUCCCAAGAGUCCGGACCAGGC
rnacentral:lncRNA from 1 species